rnacentral:rRNA from 1 species
ACGGGGAUUGCCUCAGUAACGGCGAGUGAAGCGGCAAAAGCUCAAAUUUGAAAUCCUUCGGGAGUUGUAAUUUGUAGGUUGGGAGACCCCGCGGCUAGUGGCACCAAGUCCCUUGGAACAGGGCGCCUUAGAGGGUGAGAGCCCCGUAGGUACCACAACACCGUCUUGUGUCUCCUCUCCAAAGAGUCGAGUUGUUUGGGAAUGCAGCUCAAAGUGGGUGGUAAAUUCCAUCUAAAGCUAAAUACCGGCGAGAGACCGAUAGCGAACAAGUACAGUGAUGGAAAGAUGAAAAGCACUUUGAAAAGAGAGUGAAACAGUACGUGAAAUUGUUGAAAGGGAAGGGCUUGCAAGCAGACACGGCCUUCGUGCCGGGCCAGCAUCGGUUGCUAGGGGUGGAUAAGGAACAAGGAAUGUAGCUCCUCGGAGUAUUAUAGCCUUGCGCGAUACACCCACUGGCGACCGAGGCCUGCGGUAUUCUUUACCUAGGAUGCUGGCGUAAUGGUUGCAAGCCGCCCGUCUUGAAACMMCGGACACA